GGCUCGGUGGUGGAUGGUCCACACCUGCUUCCUGCGGGGCUCCAGAAUACUAAACAGCAUCAAGCAGGGAUAGUCUGUUCGAAUCAGGCCCGGGCCA